GAUUAAUGGUUUGAAUUAAGAAAUUGCUAAUUAUAUAAAAGUUACAUAUUUUGUAACUGCUAAUUGUUAGCAAAGAGACUUAAUUGCAAGUAUUGAAAUGUAGUUGGGCUUAAUUAAUAAUGGAUUAAGUCUUAAUUAAUUUAAAUCAAAUUUAAUUAAAUUAGGUUUGAUUCAAUUUAAGACUAAUUAGGUUUAAUUAUCUAAAUUGGACUUGAAUUUUAAUCCUGAUU
rnacentral:lncRNA from 1 species